ensembl:misc_RNA Metazoa_SRP Metazoan signal recognition particle RNA
GCUGGGUGUGGUGGUGCACACCUGUAGUCCCAGCUACUCAGGAGGCUGAGGCGGGAUGAUCACUUGAGCCCAGGAGGUGGGGGCUGCAGUGAGCUGAGAUCUCACCACUGCACUCCAGCCUGGGAGACAGAGCAAGACCCUGUCUCCA